rnacentral:misc_RNA from 1 species
CCCAUUUCACUUGAGAGUAAACACAAAAAUCUACAAAUUUUGAGAAUCCAGCACCGAGUUCGAAAAAUCGGAAUCUGUCAAUUUGGUUGUGCUUGUGCGAAUUUAGUAAAAAAAUAAAAUUCAAAAAAGAGGCCCCAAAGCGUGUAGCACUAGCCUAGCCAGUACUUGGCCAGUCCAAGUAAUACGGAAGUACACCGCCCCUGGGUGUCAAAAAAAGGUUUUCAAGAGCCGUUUUCGGAGCCGCUGCUGCUUACGACGUGCUCCGCUCCUUGCCGUCAUAUCACCGACGUCCGAUCAUAUCGGUGAGAAGCGCCCUCCUCUGGCCCUCGAAACGAUACACACAAUGUGAGCGGUGGGCUGUGGGCAGUUCGGAAGUUUAUGCAAUGUUCUAGUUCUAGCCCACGAGACGGUGGCGGUGACGGGGAUACGGUGGUACGCAGGCGGACACCGAGACGGAAGCAGAGAAGGGAGCAAGGAGAGAGCAGAGUCGGCAGAAGAGAGUCGUUUUCCGUUUUUAUAUACAUACAAUACAUAGGGAUACACAGACAGCGUGUGUGAAGGGGAAGUAGAGAGUAUCGUAUCCAAAUGACUGUGACCAGCACACAUACAAUGGAGGCACCAGUCAAAGCAGGACAUCAUCAUCAUCAUCAGGGCGGCGGAGGAGGAGCCAGCAAGUCUGUCGAUGGGGCCGGCAAGGAGCCGUUGGAUGAGGACGCCGUGGACGACGAGAUGACAGUACUGCUGGCCAAUACAAACUUUCACUAUGAUGCGGCAUCCGAGCUGGACGAGGCAUUUGUGGAGUUCAAGGAAGGUGAAGAAACGGCAGAGGGCGUGGCCGGGGCGGGCAGCUUUUACAAUGAGCCCGAGCUGCUAGAAGAACACCCACACCCGCAGGUCACUUGGCUGGAUGACGACGAGAUCGAGACACUGGACCGCGUCACUCUGGACAUGGGCAACGUGUUCUUCAACCGGGUCGACAGUCAGGACAUUAUCUAUCAGCAGAAGAAGAAGAACAUUAAAAUGGUCGGCAAGUACAUAAUGGGCGAUGUUCUGGGGGAGGGCUCGUACGGGAAAGUGAAGGAGGCAAUGAACUCGGAGGACCUCUGCCGCCUCGCCGUUAAGAUACUCACGAAGCGCAAGCUGCGCCGCAUACCCAACGGUGAGCAGAACGUAACGAGGGAGAUCCACCUGCUGAAGCAGCUGAAGCACCCGAAUAUUGUGGAGCUAGUGGAUGUCCUCUACAACGAUGAGAAGCAGAAGAUGUAUUUGGUGAUGGAGUACUGCGUGGGGGGUUUGCAAGAAAUGGUUGACUAUCAGCCCGACAAGAAGAUGCCAUUGUUCCAGGCGCAUGGCUACUUCCACCAGCUGGUCGAUGGCCUGGAGUACUUACACAGCUGCCGCGUCAUUCACAAGGACAUAAAACCCGGCAACCUUCUACUGUCCUUGGACCAAACACUGAAGAUUUCCGACUUCGGCGUUGCGGAGCAAUUGGAUCUCUUUUCGCCGGACGACACAUGCACAACGGGCCAGGGCUCGCCAGCAUUUCAGCCGCCAGAGAUUGCCAAUGGCCACGAAACGUUCGCUGGCUUCAAAGUGGACAUCUGGAGCAGCGGCGUCACACUCUUCAACUUGGCCACAGGACAGUACCCGUUCGAGGGCGAUAACAUCUAUCGCCUACUGGAGAACAUUGGUCGCAAGCAGUGGGUGGCGCCCGACUGGCUCUACGAGCUGGACCCAGACUUUGCCAAACUAAUUUUAGGCAUGCUGCAAGCAGAUCCCAGUGCCCGCCUCUCGCUGCAGCAGAUACGCAAGGACACUUGGUUCAUAUCCGCACCGCCGGCCACCGGCCCACCGAUACCCAUUCCUCCACUGAAAGGCGACAAAUACCGAUGUUCCACAGUACUGCCUUACCUGGAAGCCUACCACUAUGGCAGCGAGCACGACCAGGAAGAUGUGUAUUUCACUGAGCACGAUGUCAAUCAGGAGUUGGCGCGACAAGCUGCAGCGGCCGCGUCUGAGAUACGAGCAAAACAGUCAGCGGCAGCGCAUGCUGCCUGCCACACGUACGAGCAUCCCUCCACAAGUGCCGCUGCCGCCGCAGCAGCCUCGGCGGCAGGACAGUCAUUGGGCAAUGGAAACAGAGACGAGAUGCCGGCUAAGAAGAAAGGAUCGGCGCUGAAGCGACGCGCAAAGAAGCUAACCUCGUGCAUCUCGGUGCGCAAGCUGAGCCAUUGCCGCACCUCGUAGGCGGGGCAGGCGAAGAACCUUAACCUAGCUGCUAAGAGUAAUGAAAGAAUAACUUCGUUAACAAAUUCUAUAAAAAAAAAGUAGGAACCGGAUGACGGACCAGGACCCCAGCAGCAGCAGAGACUUAAAGUCGUCUGAGACGAGCGGCGGUGGGGCAGUCGAGGUCUGGCUCGAGUUCGAGCGACACGAAAGUUAUACAUAUAUCCAUGUGACAAUACUGUGUAUUAUAUGAAUCAAAUGAAAGAGUAAAUUAGUUGUUA